rnacentral:rRNA from 1 species
UACGAAGGGGGCUAGCGUUGCUCGGAAUCACUGGGCGUAAAGGGUGCGUAGGUGGUCAGGUAAGUCUGAUGUGAAAUCUCUGGGCUCAACCCAGAAACUGCAUUGGAUACUAUCUGGCUAGAGGAGUGGAGGGGGGACUGGAAUACUUGGUGUAGCAGUGAAAUGCGUAGAUAUCAAGUGGAACACCAGUGGCGAAGGCGAGUCCCUGGACACUUCCUGACACUGAGGCACGAAAGCUAGGGGAGCAAACAGG